AAUAUUUUCAGCUAUGUCGGGAUUGUAUUGGCACUCGAACCAUGCUUGCCAUGACCUUACUUUGUAGAAAAAAACAAAAAGCAUACAUCGAUUGCGAGAUUCUCUCGCUAGCCACACCAAUUAUGGGGCUUAAGGUUUCGCUGGAGGUUUGUUGCCAUGAUUUCAUGAAAAAUAUAAUAUUAUAGGUGAUAAAUAUUGAUUUUUCAUCCACAUCGAUGCCACCAUUUGAUCACGAUCAAACACAACAGGAC
rnacentral:lncRNA from 1 species